UAAUGUUGUCUUUGAACUUGCGUUUUGUAAAUGAAGUCCAAUCGGAUGGCAGAGGAUUCAUGUGGGCUGAGUAGUUACAUGCAAUAUGGAUGCCCAUUGGUCCUUGUUCUUACUGCCUAUUUAUUUGUGCCAUUAGAGAUUCCCCCAUGAUCAUGGAAUUUCACAGGAUUCGUGAUGUGCCAGAGCCCAGGGAAGACUUGAAACAAAUAGGAGGAGAGCGACCGGGGACUUGACCUUCCUCUCCUCCGCGGCAGCCAGGUGUUUGGUUUGUUUGCAGCAGAGGCAGGAGCAGCCGUGUGGUUGUGGCUCAGAAACGCCGCGUUCUGCGGUCUUCUUCCCGAGAUCGCAUUCUAGCAAGAACAGCUCCUUGAGGACCAACAUCACCAUCUCUUCUGCUUUGGAAAUGAACCAGAAGUAUUUAUCCCGUGGCCCUGGUGCGUCAACCUUUCACUUUACGGAACCGAACCGUGGGACGUUGAAGUCCAGUUAGGGGGAAACCAGACACACAAGGGAAAUGAUGAGGGAGGAAGGCGGGUCUGGACCUUGAAUGCUUGCUGUGCGCCAGGCACUAUGUCCUGCAUUUCGUGUUACGUCUUCCUCAUUUUAAUCCUCCGCAGAGUUACGAGCGGGAAGUCUUUGCCUCUUUUUGGUAAAGAUGUGAAUAUUGAUUAGCAAGAAUCGACCCAGGUGCCUGGGCAUCAAACCCACGUAGGCGGUGACUGUUAGAAUAACCCUGCCACCCCCCCUCCCCACCUUGUGACUUUCCUGAUAACCUUGGGAAGCAAGGGUGGACCUACCGUUAACACUGUUUUAUGUAUUAGGAAAAUACGACCCAGGAAAUACUGGAUCAUUCACGUACACACUCGAUGUCAGACAGAAAGUCAGUUCUUAAACCCAGUGAGGUGUUUUGGCUGUUGAUCUGAUAAUCAGACAUUCAGAUGCCGUUUAGAUAUUCAUAUUCUCAGGAAGUGACUCUCAGGAUGGUGUCUCUGCACUGCGGGUGGCUUUGACUUUGAAGCGGGGUUUUGGAAUGCUACGUUUCAUGUGUGAGAUGGGGGCCCUUUGGUCACAAUGUGUCAGCCAUCGUCUGACAGUAGUGGACCCAGCAUGGGUUUGGGGGUCAGAAGAUAGAAUCCUGGCCCUGGCUCUGCCACAGACUGGCUGGAUGACCUUGGGGACUUGAUUCUUCCUGGUCCUAUGUUUCUCCUCCGCAAAUAGAAGACACUGCGCUUCAUGAUUUCUGAGAUUUGUUAAAAAAUCUGAUGCUGUGCAUCAGAAUCGCUGGAUGGCCCCAAGGGACUGGUAAGAAGCCCAGAGGCAUAUGGAGGCGGAGAUUUGUCCCCUGUCAUCUCAGCAAGAAGGGAAUCCCCCACCAUGGGCAAUGCCUCUUACGGCAUGGCGCAGACAUGAUGAGGCAGCCAAGUCCUCAUUAAUGUCAUGAUUACAGUGACAAGUCUGCUGGGGGCCUGAAGGCACCCAAUUUGCCCUCCGAGUACUUGCAAGUAGAAAUCCUUCAUGCGCUCUCUGGCCACAGAACAGAGAGUCCUAGAACAAAGCCUGUUUUGAUCUUUUGUCUUGGCGCGGGGUGAGACCUUAUCUCCAGCGUAAACUACGCUGCUUGUAUUGUUUGCAUGCCCUCAGUAAAAAAGGAAAACACAA